AAGCAAAGAUUUCAUGACUUGGCAUACACGCCCUCUAUCGUCGACCUCUUUUCAUUCUUGCGAAGCAGAUUGUUUCCAAGAUAUCUUGUAGCUGUACCAACUCAGCCACAACACAGCCAAGA